rnacentral:rRNA from 1 species
CCUCCCUUGCGUUUUGAUAAGGCUUUCAUAGUUGUGGUGGCGCCCCCCCUCCCCGGAUGGCGUUAACGAUGUAGUACUAUAGGGGCUGGGGGGUUUUUCGAAAAAAAGGCCGCCUUUGGGGGGUUGUUCGGGAAAGUUGGCGGGCGGGGGGGGACCUCGCCCCCCGGGGCCAAGCCACAUAAGGUGGUAUUAAGAUACUCCCGCGGGCGCUUAGGGGGAGAGUGAAUGGGGGUAGAGCUGGAAGCCUGUUGGGGGUUGUGUGCACCUCCCCACAACACGGCCUCAAUGGGUUCACAUGGGGUACAAGGGCAAAAAGGGGGGGGUAAUCCCAAAAAACGGUUUCAGUUCGGUUUGGGGUGGCAGGAAAAGUCCAUAAGUUUUAUG